rnacentral:misc_RNA from 1 species
GAUGAGAACGUAGCGAAAUGCGAUAAGUAAUGUGAAUUGCAGAAUUCAGUGAAUCAUCGAAUCUUUGAACGCACAUUGCGCCCGCCAGUAUUCUGGCGGGCAUGCCUGUCCGAGCGUCAUUUCAACCAUCAAGCCCCGGGCUUGUGUUGGGGACCUGCGUCCGACGCAGGCCCUGAAAACCAGUGGCGGGCUCGCUGUCCACACCGAGCGUAGUAACUAACCUCGCUAUGGAGUGGCGCGGGCGCCUGCCGUAAAACCCCCAAUUUCACAAGGUUGACCUCGGAUCAGGUAGGAAUACCCGCUGAACUUAAGCAUAUCAAUAAGCGGAGGA